AGAGUUUGAUCAUGGCUCAGAUUGAACGCUGGCGGCAGGCCUAACACAUGCAAGUCGAGCGGUAGCACAGAGAGCUUGCUCUCGGGUGACGAGCGGCGGACGGGUGAGUAAUGUCUGGGAAACUGCCUGAUGGAGGGGGAUAACUACUGGAAACGGUAGCUAAUACCGCAUAACGUCGCAAGACCAAAGUGGGGGACCUUCGGGCCUCAUGCCAUCAGAUGUGCCCAGAUGGGAUUAGCUAGUAGGUGGGGUAACGGCUCACCUAGGCGACGAUCCCUAGCUGGUCUGAGAGGAUGACCAGCCACACUGGAACUGAGACACGGUCCAGACUCCUACGGGAGGCAGCAGUGGGGAAUAUUGCACAAUGGGCGCAAGCCUGAUGCAGCCAUGCCGCGUGUGUGAAGAAGGCCUUCGGGUUGUAAAGCACUUUCAGCGGGGAGGAAGGCGGUGAGGUUAAUAACCUCAUCGAUUGACGUUACCCGCAGAAGAAGCACCGGCUAACUCCGUGCCAGCAGCCGCGGUAAUACGGAGGGUGCAAGCGUUAAUCGGAAUUACUGGGCGUAAAGCGCACGCAGGCGGUCUGUCAAGUCGGAUGUGAAAUCCCCGGGCUCAACCUGGGAACUGCAUUCGAAACUGGCAGGCUAGAGUCUUGUAGAGGGGGGGAGAAUUCCAGGUGUAGCGGUGAAAUGCGUAGAGAUCUGGAGGAAUACCGGUGGCGAAGGCGGCCCCCUGGACAAAGACUGACGCUCAGGUGCGAAAGCGUGGGGAGCAAACAGGAUUAGAUACCCUGGUAGUCCACGCCGUAAACGAUGUCGAUUUGGAGGUUGUGCCCUUGAGGCGUGGCUUCCGGAGCUAACGCGUUAAAUCGACCGCCUGGGGAGUACGGCCGCAAGGUUAAAACUCAAAUGAAUUGACGGGGGCCCGCACAAGCGGUGGAGCAUGUGGUUUAAUUCGAUGCAACGCGAAGAACCUUACCUGGUCUUGACAUCCACAGAACUUUCCAGAGAUGGAUUGGUGCCUUCGGGAACUGUGAGACAGGUGCUGCAUGGCUGUCGUCAGCUCGUGUUGUGAAAUGUUGGGUUAAGUCCCGCAACGAGCGCAACCCUUAUCCUUUGUUGCCAGCGGUCAGGCCGGGAACUCAAAGGAGACUGCCAGUGAUAAACUGGAGGAAGGUGGGGAUGACGUCAAGUCAUCAUGGCCCUUACGACCAGGGCUACACACGUGCUACAAUGGCAUAUACAAAGAGAAGCGACCUCGCGAGAGCAAGCGGACCUCAUAAAGUAUGUCGUAGUCCGGAUUGGAGUCUGCAACUCGACUCCAUGAAGUCGGAAUCGCUAGUAAUCGUAGAUCAGAAUGCUACGGUGAAUACGUUCCCGGGCCUUGUACACACCGCCCGUCACACCAUGGGAGUGGGUUGCAAAAGAAGUAGGUAGCUUAACCUUCGGGAGGGCGCUUACCACUUUGUGAUUCAUGACUGGGGUGAAGUCGUAACAAGGUAACCGUAGGGGAACCUGCGGUUGGAUCACCU
rnacentral:rRNA from 1 species